AGUGUGAAGACUACGAUCAAACCAGCCAUGCUGAACUAUGUGAAGAAGAUGAAGACGAAGAGGUUGUAGUCCAAAAAAGGAUGAAAAAAAACAAACAUUUUGACGAUUUUGUUGAAGGAUCUGACCUGUCUGAGGCGACUGCUGAGGAGGAUGAUAAAGAAAAGCGGAAAGGAGAUUCCAGUCCAAUAAUUCCAGUAUUUCCCACUCCACCAAU